AUCAGAGCUUUUCUCCCACUAAACUUGAGAGUGCAGUGAGAAAACUUGUUGUGAUGAUUGGCAAAAUGUUCAACUGCUCUGAAGAGAGUGAGUGAGAAUGGCCUUUCUGAACAAACCCACCACUGAGUGUCCUUUUCACGGCACUUACUCUGGGCAUCUUGAAUACUUAACGUGCAUCAUUUUGUAUGAGCAGAGAUGGUGAUUGUGUCUUUAUUUAAAAUAGAAAUGAAGAGCUGUCAGGUGAAAUAAGAGAAUAUUCAGAUGUUAAGUGUGAUUCCAUAUAGUGUCUAUAAGGAAUGCUUGUGAUGGUUAGAACCACUAGAGUACCAAGGCCUGCUCUAGGUUCUGCUGGUUUGUGUGCAUUCCAGUGUCAGUUUGUGACCUGAUCCUGCCUUUACAGAUCGUAUGUGAUUAGAAAAGAUGACAGAAGAAAUGCAGGAUGCUAUUUCAUGGGAAUCUGAAGGCUAUUCUGGAAUUGGUACUGACUUGUGUUUUGAUACAAAUAGCAAAGAUGAUUCAAGUGGAAAAGCUUGGUGCUUUAGGAUGCAGAGUAAAGUGGGUGUUGCUGUGCUGCAGGCAUGAGCUGCAGAAGAUAACCUGUGACAGUGUCUGCAUGUGGGAGGCCUGAGGAACCCUGAUUUGCCAUCAAAGUGAGUCUGAAGGUCCUGGUGAUGUUGCUGCAAGUCUGCUGCAGAGAACUGCAUGGCUGUUAUCCACAGUGUUUCCUGCAGUAACUUAUUAACCACUCAGCCUAACUCCCCUCACUGUUUUGGGUGCUGAAGUAGUGUGCAGUGUUUGGAAACUGGUUCAGAAGCACAGGAGCCUUUGUCCUUACCCUCUGUCACAACUUGCCUGCAGUGCCCUUGUGGGAGAUGUGAAGUUGCCAGCUUGCUGUUGCAGAAGACCCAACUAAGAGUAUAGAUCAAGUUUUAAUUUGAGUGGUAAAAGCUUUAUCAGCUGUUUUCUGUUCCCUUUCCUGAACCUCAGGAGAGAAUGUGCAGAAUAUCAGAAUGCUUAAAUAAAAUCAAUGUCAGAGA